rnacentral:rRNA from 1 species
UGCCCAGUGAAUUUAUUUUAACGGCCGCGGUAUCCUAACCGUGCAAAGGUAGCGUAAUCACUUGCCCUCUAAAUAGGGGCCAGUAUGAACGGCUAAAUGAGGGCACAACUGUCUCACAUGGCCGCCCAAUGAAACUGAUCCUCCAGUACAAAAGCUGGGAUAUCCCCAUAAGACGAGAAGACCCUGUGGAACUUUAGCUUCUCUGCUGACCAACCCCCCCCCCAAGCCCACGGGGUAUCACCCCCCCCCCCCAUCGACAGAAAGUUUAAGUUGGGGCAACUACGGAGUAAAAAGAAACCUCCGCGAGCCAAACCCCAGGGCCACCACCCAAAGGGAUAACACAACCUCUGACCCAGUACCCACUGACCACCGAACCAAGCUACCCCAGGGAUAACAGCGCCAUCCCCUUCAAGAGUCCCUAUCGCCAAGGGGGCUUACGACCUCGAUGUUGGAUCAGGGCCCCCCAGUGGCGCAGCCGGG